rnacentral:misc_RNA from 1 species
GAGCAUUUCCAGCAAAAGUGUGAAACGCCUACGCGGGGAAAUCAGUCCACUGGACUGAUUUCCGAUCCCGCUUCGAUGCGUCGGAUAAUGCGUAAAAACAAAGAAAUAGAGCAUUUUCGAGCCAAAAGUGCAAAAAAAGCCCCGGAUUUCCGGGGCUUUUUGUAUCAAACG